UACGAAGGGGGCUAGCGUUGUUCGGAAUUACUGGGCGUAAAGCGCACGUAGGCGGAUUUGUAAGUCAGGGGUGAAAUCCCGGGGCUCAACCUCGGAACUGCCUUUGAUACUGCAAGUCUUGAGUCCGAUAGAGGUGAGUGGAAUUCCUAGUGUAGAGGUGAAAUUCGUAGAUAUUAGGAAGAACACCAGUGGCGAAGGCGGCUCACUGGAUCGGUACUGACGCUGAGGUGCGAAAGCGUGGGGAGCGAGUCCGG
rnacentral:rRNA from 1 species